rnacentral:rRNA from 1 species
UCGGGAAUUUUGGGCAAUGGGCGAAAGCCUGACCCAGCAACGCCGCGUGAGGGAUGAAGUAUUUCGGUAUGUAAACCUCGAAAGAAUGGGAAGAAUAAAUGACGGUACCAUUUAUAAGCUCCGGCUAACUACGUGCCAGCAGCCGCGGUAAUACGUUGGGAGCAAGCGUUGUUCGGAUUUACUGGGCGUAAAGGGCGCGUAGGCGGCGCGGUAAGUCACUUGUGAAAUCUCUGAGCUUAACUCAGAACGGCCAAGUGAUACUGCUGUGCUAGAGUGCGGAAGAGGCAACCGGAAUUCUUGGUGUAGCGGUGAAAUGCGUAGAUAUCAAGAGGAACACCUGAGGCGAAGGCGGGUUGCUGGGCCGACACUGACGCUGAUGCGCGAAAGCCAGGGGAGCAAACG